rnacentral:rRNA from 1 species
ACACAUGCAAGUCGAGGGGCAGCAUGGUCUUAGCUUGCUAAGGCCGAUGGCGACCGGCGCACGGGUGAGUAACACGUAUCCAACCUGCCGUCUACUCUUGGACAGCCUUCUGAAAGGAAGAUUAAUACAAGAUGGCAUCAUGAGUCCGCAUGUUCACAUGAUUAAAGGUAUUCCGGUAGACGAUGGGGAUGCGUUCCAUUAGAUAGUAGGCGGGGUAACGGCCCACCUAGUCUUCGAUGGAUAGGGGUUCUGAGAGGAAGGUCCCCCACAUUGGAACUGAGACACGGUCCAAACUCCUACGGGAGGCAGCAGUGAGGAAUAUUGGUCAAUGGGCGAGAGCCUGAACCAGCCAAGUAGCGUGAAGGAUGACUGCCCUAUGGGUUGUAAACUUCUUUUAUAAAGGAAUAAAGUCGGGUAUGGAUACCCGUUUGCAUGUACUUUAUGAAUAAGGAUCGGCUAACUCCGUGCCAGCAGCCGCGGUAAUACGGAGGAUCCGAGCGUUAUCCGGAUUUAUUGGGUUUAAAGGGAGCGUAGAUGGAUGUUUAAGUCAGUUGUGAAAGUUUGCGGCUCAACCGUAAAAUUGCAGUUGAUACUGGAUAUCUUGAGUGCAGUUGAGGCAGGCGGAAUUCGUGGUGUAGCGGUGAAAUGCUUAGAUAUCACGAAGAACUCCGAUUGCGAAGGCAGCCUGCUAAGCUGCAACUGACAUUGAGGCUCGAAAGUGUGGGUAUCAAACAGGAUUAGAUACCCUGGUAGUCCACACGGUAAACGAUGAAUACUCGCUGUUUGCGAUAUACUGCAAGCGGCCAAGCGAAAGCGUUAAGUAUUCCACCUGGGGAGUACGCCGGCA